UACAGAGACUGCAAGCGUUAUUCGGAUUCACUGGGCGUAAAGGGUGCGCAGGCGCCAAGUGUGUUAGGCGUGAAAGCCCGGGGCUUAACCCCGGAAUUGCACCUAAAACUACAUGGCUAGAGCAUUGGAGAGGGUAGCGGAAUUCACGGUGUAGCAGUGAAAUGCGUAGAUAUCGUGAGGAACACCAGAGGCGAAGGCGGCUACCUGGACAAGUACUGACACUCAACUACGAAAGCGUGGGGAGCAAACAGGAUUAGAA
rnacentral:rRNA from 1 species